rnacentral:rRNA from 1 species
UAGUAACGGCGAGUGAACAGGAAAGAGCUCAAAGUUGGAACCCGUUUGGUUUAGCCAAACCGGAUUGUAAACUGUAGAAGUGUUUUCCUGACACGCCUGAUGAAAAAGUCCAUUGGAACAUGGUGACAUAGAGGGUGAGAGCCCCGUAUUUCGUCAGAGCUGUUGUCUUUUGUGAUACACUUUCAAAGAGUCAGGUUGUUUGGGAAUGCAGCCUAAAUUGGGUGGUAAAUCUCACCUAAAGCUAAAUAUUGGCAAAAGACCGAUAGCGAACAAGUACCGUGAGGGAAAGAUGAAAAGAACUUUGAAAAGAGAGUUAAACAGUAUGUGAAAUUGUUAAAAGGGAACCGUUUGGAGCCAGACUGGCUUGAUUGUAAUCAAUCUAGAUUUCGAUCUGGAUGCACUUGCAGUCUAUGCCUGCCAACGACAAUUCAUUCUGGAGGAAAAAACUAGGAGGAAUGUGGCCCCUCGGGGUGUUAUAGCUUCUUAGAAAAUACUCUGGGUUGGAUUGAGGAACGCAGUGGAUGCUAUUUGGCGAAGUUGCUGAGUGCUUUUAUUGGUACGUGUUAGAAUUUCUGCUUCGGGUGGUGCUAGCAUUUACUGGUAAAACUCGCUUGGUAAUCUUUUUAUCCGCUUAGGUUGUUGGCUUAAUGACUCUAAAUGACCCGUCUG